rnacentral:ncRNA from 1 species
CUGGGCGUGGGCCGGUGUUCGUUCCUGUGCAUCGCAUCCAUCCUCGUGGUGGCAUGCGAUGCAUGGGUUCGUUCUGAGAAUAUACGGUCAAAACUUGAUCUGGAUAAUACCAGCGAAAGGAUCAUGCCUUCCCUUGUU